rnacentral:lncRNA from 10 species
CGUGGAGCGAUUUAAGAGCCUCGGAAAUUUCCUUUAAGGUCAGGAGAGAAGCUGGUAACAGAUGGGGCGAAGGAGGAAAAGUUCUUUUUGCGGCACCCUCACGCCUUCCCAGCCCUUUCGCGGUUUACUCGCUCCCCGGAAAGCAGACUAGUCUCACUCUGUUGCCCAGGCUGGAGUGCAGUGGCGCGAUCUCAGCUUACUUCAGCCUCCGCCUCCCGGUUUCAAGUGAAUUCUCCAGCCUCAACUUCACAAGUAGCUGGGAUUACAGGU